ensembl:lncRNA
AAUGAGCACCGGCCCAAGGUUUACAGAAUGCGUGGGGGAGGUAAACGCGGCAUGCAUGGAUGCACGCUAAGUCACUUCAGUCGUGUCCAACUCUGUGCAACCCCAUCAACUGCAGCCCACCAAGCUCCUCUGUCCAUGGGAUUCUCCAGGCAAGAAUACUAGAGUGGGCUGCCAUUCCCUCCUGCCAGGAGAUCUUCCCAACCCAGGGAUCGAACCCAACUCUCUUGUGUCUCCUUCAUUAGCAGCAGCCUGUGAUCUUAAUUCUGCAUCAGGAUUGGCCUGUGAAAGAUGGUGAGGAAGACACAGACCAUGCCUUCCAAGGAGUUUCCCAUAAGAUUCUUACUAUGUGUUAUGGCUUGAAUUGCAUCCCCACAAAAGAUACAUAACCCCCACAUACUUCACAACGUGACUUUAUUGGGGAAUGGGGUUGUUGCAGAUGUCAGUAGUUAAGAUGAGGUUGUGCUGGAGUGGCGUGGGCUUUUAAUCCAACAUGACUGGUGUCCACAUAAGAAGAGAGGGAUUCGAACAAAGACACAGAGGGAAGAGGGUCAUGUGAAGGCUGAAGCAAACUGGAGUUGUGCUGUCCAAGCCAAGGAACAUCUGGGGCUUCCAGAAGCUGGCAGAGGCAAGAACAGAGUCUCUCCUGGAUGUUUUGUAGCAGCCAGGUGGGAUAACCACGAUAGAGGACGGGACACUUCCGGAAACCCAGCAUGCUCCCAAGGCAGCCGGUUCUGGCCCCUCUUGCAGCCCUCUUUCAGCCACUGCUUCCUUCCCGUCCCUGCCAAAAACAGCACCAGCGUCAGGCCCUGUCUCUGCUGCAGCCCUGUGCCCA